rnacentral:rRNA from 1 species
AUUGAACGCUGGCGGCAUGCCUUACACAUGCAAGUCGAACGGCAGCACGGGUGCUUGCACCUGGUGGCGAGUGGCGAACGGGUGAGUAAUACAUCGGAACAUGUCCUGUAGUGGGGGAUAGCCCGGCGAAAGCCGGAUUAAUACCGCAUACGAUCUACGGAUGAAAGCGGGGGACCUUCGGGCCUCGCGCUAUAGGGUUGGCCGAUGGCUGAUUAGCUAGUUGGUGGGGUAUAGGCCUACCAAGGCGACGAUCAUUAGCUGGUCUGAGAGGACGACCAGCCACACUGGGACUGAGACACGGCACAGACUCCUACGGGAGGCAGCAGUGGGGAAUUUUGGACAAUGGGCGAAAGCCUGAUCCAGCAAUGCCGCGUGUGUGAAGAAGGCCUUCGGGUGGUAGAGCACUUUUGUCCGGAAAGAAAUCCUUGGCUCUAAUACAGUCGGGGGAUGACGGUACCGGAAGAAUAAGCACCGGCUAACUACGUG